rnacentral:rRNA from 1 species
UAAAAUAAAUUUGAUUUGUAUUGUUUUAAUCUAAAUUAUAUUCAAUAAUCCUUGAAAAUUAAAGUGAUUGAUGUUAACAUAUGAAGUUUAAAAUGGUCGUACUCAUCACCGCAUCAGGUCUCUAAGGUGAAAAGCCUCUAGUUGAUUAGAAAUAAUGCAGGUAAGGAAAGUCGGCAAAUUAGAUCCGUAACUUCGGGAAAUGGAUUGGCUCAUAAAAUUAUAAAAUAAUAAAAUAAUUUUUUUAUUUUGUUAUUUAAAUUAAUUAUGAACUGAUACGAUCAUGGGGAAUCCGACUGUUUAAUUAAAACAAAGCAUUGCGAAACUUUUAACUAGAUUUUUACGUAAUGUGAUUUCUGCUCAGUGCUCUGAAUGUCAAAGUGAAGUAAUUCAACCAAGCGCGGGUAAACAGCGGGAGUAACUAUGACUCUCUUAAGGUAGCCAAAUGCCUCGUCAUCUAAUUAGUGACGCGCAUGAAUGGAUUAACGAGAUUCCCACUGUCCCUACUUGCUAUCUAGCGAACCAACAGCCAAGGGAACGGGCUUGGCAAUGUC